rnacentral:misc_RNA from 1 species
GAUGAAGAACGUAGCGAAUUGCGAUAUGUAAUGUGAAUUGCAGAUUUUCAGUGAAUCAUCGAAUCUUUGAACGCACAUUGCGCCCGCCAGUAUUCUGGCGGGCAUGCCUGUUCGAGCGUCAUUUCAACCAUCAAGCCCCCGGCUUGUGUUGGGGACCUGCGGCUGCCGCAGGCCCUGAAAACCAGUGGCGGGCUCGCUAGUCACUCCGAGCGUAGUAAUACAUCUCGCUCAGGGCGUGCUGCGGGUUCCGGCCGUUAAAAGCCUUAUUUACCCAAGGUUGACCUCGGAUCAGGUAGGAAGACCCGCUGAACUUAAGCAUAUCAAUAAGCGGAGGA